rnacentral:rRNA from 1 species
UACGAAGGGGGCGAGCGUUGUUCGGAUUUACUGGGCGUAAAGGGCGCGCAGGCGGCGCAUUUUGUCAGGCGUGAAAGCCCCGGGCUUAACCUGGGAACUGCGUUUGAUACGGAUGGGCUAGAGUUCGGGAGAGGAGAGUGGAAUUCCCAGUGUAGAGGUGAAAUUCGUAGAUAUUGGGAAGAACACCGAUGGCGAAGGCAGCACUCUGGACCGUUACUGACGCUGAGGCGCGAAAGCGUGGGGAGCAAACAGG